AAUGAACGCUGGCGGCGUGCCUAACACAUGCAAGUCGAGCGGUAAGGCCCCUUCGGGGGUACACGAGCGGCGAACGGGUGAGUAACGCGUGGGUAACCUGCCCAGAAGUAGGGGAUAGCCCCGGGAAACCGGGGGUAAUACCGCAUGUGCUCCAGUCGACGCGAGUCGACUGUUGGAAAGGCGGGGAUCUUUCGGGACCCGUCGCUUCUGGAUGGGCCCGCGUCCGAUUAGCUAGUUGGUGGGGUAACGGCCUACCAAGGCAACGAUCGGUAGCCGGCCUGAGAGGGUGAACGGCCACAUUGGGACUGAGACACGGCCCAGACUCCUACGGGAGGCAGCAGUGGGGAAUUUUGGGCAAUGGGCGCAAGCCUGACCCAGCGACGCCGCGUGGAGGAUGAAGGCCUUCGGGUUGUAAACUCCUGUCAGGUGGGAAGAAAUCACCGCCGGUCAAUACCCGGCGGCGUUGACGGUACCACCAAAGGAAGCCCCGGCUAACUCCGUG
rnacentral:rRNA from 1 species